UACGUAGGGUGCAAGCGUUGUUCGGAAUCAUUGGGCGUAAAGCGCGUGUAGGUGGCUAUUUAAGUCGAGUGUGAAAUCCCUGGGCUCAACCGAGGAAGUGCAUUCGAAACUAGCUGGCUAGAGGACAGUAGAGGAAGGUGGAGUUCCAAGUGUAGAGGUGAAAUUCGUAGAUAUUUGGAGGAAUACCGGCGGCGAAGGCGGCCUUCUGGGCUGUUCCUGACACUGAGACGCGAAAGCGUGGGGAGCAAACAGG
rnacentral:rRNA from 1 species